UUUUUCAUCAUCAUCCACGCUUAUAUAUUUUUUUUUAAUAUAUUUUUUUCGUUGUAUGGUUUUAUUUUUAUUUAAAAAAAAAAGGGGGGGCGGGCC
rnacentral:ribozyme from 14 species